AGGAAUGGUUAGGAAAGGUGGCUUACACAGGGGCAAAACCCUUGGUUUUGGAAGUGUCUCUCCAGUCCAUUUGUCUUUUAAGCCAGUUCCUGCCUGCCCUGGCCCCAGAUUACAAGUUGUCUGCCUGAGUCACUGCUUCGAUUCUCUGAGUCAAGUCUGGCCCUCUCUCACAUGUUGCUAAGGCCACCUCUACAGCAGCCACUCAGGUGCCCUUUGGCCAGCCCUCCAAGGACGGGGCCCGCAAUUACAGCAGAGAGCAUGAGCAGCUGUGGAGAAUUGAUGGCACCCCCACUCAGGAUCACCUCCUUGCUGGCAUACGCCUGGAAGAGGCAGGGGACCCCCAGUCACACUUCUCGAAAAGCCAGCUGACCUACUACGGCCUCACGGAGGGUUUCUCUGUGUAGCUUUGCGCCUUUCCUGGGACUCACUUGGUAGACCAGGCUGGCCUCGAACUCACAGAGAUCCGCCUGCCUCUGCCUCCCGAGUGCUGGGAUUAAAGGCGUGCGCCACCACCGCCCGGCUACGUUUGUGGGUUUUUAAACUUCUAGGACCAACCUAAUGGUUUCGGACAGGCCAGGACCCUGGAACCACAUUAGAAGGUACUAGGGGACUCCUUGGGGGUGGAUGUGGUAGGCAAGAAGCCCAUGGAGGCAUUCAUAUCAGAGCACCAUGGAGUCUGCAGGUGCCAGGGGUUGGGGGCUUCCGACCUCUAUGUCUUGUGAGACUCCAGGGACAAUCCCGCCACCACUCCCAGCUGUUAACUCAGCAUAGGGACAAGAGCAUGUGGCUGGGGAGGACACCCUGCCGGCCAGGUCACUGCCUACCCCUUCCCGCCCUCUGAGUUCCCGCACCUUCCCUAGGAGUCA